rnacentral:rRNA from 1 species
GACGAACGCUGGCGGCGUGCUUAACACAUGCAAGUCGAACGGAAACGCCCUGCUUUUCUGCGGUGCUCGAGUGACGAAGGGGUGAGUAACACGUUAGUAACCUGCCCUCCUCUUUGGGAUAGCUUCAGGACACUGGGGCUAAUAUCGGAUAGGAUCUCCUGUCGCAUGGUGGGCGUUGGAAAGUUUCGGCGGUUGGGGAUGGACUCGCGGCUUAUCCGCUUGUUGGUGGGGUAGUGGCUUACCAAGGCUUUGACGGAUAGCCGGCCUGACAGGGAGACCGGCCACAGACGGACGGAGGUAGGACCCGGACAGAAUCGGGAGGGAGGAGUGAGGGAUAGAGCACAAGAGACGGAGGCCUGAUGGAGCGACGCCGGGUGCGGGAGGACGGCCGUCGGGAUGGAAACCGAGUUCGCCUAGAACGAAGCGUGAGGAAGGGAACUGGAUAAGAAGCCACGGCCUACCUAGUG